UCCCUGGUGGCUUAGAGGGUAAAGCAUCUGCCUGCAAUGCAGGAGACCCGGGUUUGAUCCCUGAGCCAGGAA
rnacentral:tRNA from 1 species